rnacentral:tRNA from 1 species
GGGGCUGUAGCUCAGUGGCAGAGCGCUUGCCUAGCAUGCCGGAGGCACUGGGUUCCAUCCCCAGCACCA